rnacentral:lncRNA from 1 species
GACCGGUGCAGGACCGAGUCACGUCACAAGAGUUUUAUUAUUGGUUCAUGUUUUUAGACCAACCGUGUGAGUCGAUCACAUGAUCGACUCAGACAAAUAAUGGACCGACCCAACACUACUAGCUACUACAUCCAUGUUUGUUAAGAGCUUAAAUUUUAAACAAGAUAUUUCUCAACUUGUUUCUUUCUUUUUAGUUAUAUCUCAGCAAAUUCAAGUUUCAACUCGCAGGGGAGACCGUACAAGGUUCUACAUGUUAUUUAUAUGUCCAUAAAAUUUACAUAAUAAUACCUAUUAUUAGCUAUCUGGAAAUCAUGUCUCUUGCCAUUUAAUCUGACAAGAUGACUGAUGUCACACAUAACAUAUCGUCAUCUUAUUAUGAUCUGCGGAUUGUUUUUUGGAUGCAGUUUGCGAUAAUGAUAAACGAAAAACUGGCCUUUGAAUUGAGCCAAAUGAUUUAGUCUAUCAAUAUUCAAUUUAAUUUUUAUCAAGAAUAGGGAUGAUGACUAAUGUUCUUUAUCAUACCUAUAUAUCUAGACCGGUCUUCCCUAAUCUCCUCGAAAUUACGAGUACUCUACAAUUGUUUAUAUUUCUUUUGUAUUUAUUCGUCAGAUUAAUUCUGAGUCUAUCGUGGUUAGUGAUGUGCCUUUGGAUGUUUCGUCGAUCGUAAACGUUGAAUCGAGGUCUCUUGAACGGGAUGAAGCCCCACGGAUGAGUGAAACGGAAUAGGAAAUCGGGAUGGAGAUAAUUCUCGUGAAAAGGUUAUCUAAAGGAACUCCUUUGAAACGCAGUGAGUUCGUUAAUUUUGAAUAGAGUUGACAUAAAGAAUAAAAUAGAGGUGACAAGGAUGUUCACUUGGCCACUUAUCUUUGUUAGGUAGACAUAGAAUUCAUAUUCUGAUUUUGAAAUGUUUUAGGCGUCUAUUUUAGAUGAUCUAUUAGUAGAUGAUGUAUUAAAAUCAACCUAGCAAAUAUUAUGGGUGUUUUGGCGAAUGCUUUUCGCUGGGUAUUCAAACUUUUGCAUACAUACCUCGUCACCUCUCUAUUUUUUUCCCUCUAUGACAGGGGUCGCGUAACUUUUUUUUAGCAUUACUCCAAAAGAACUUGAUGAUGUAAUAUUAAUUUCCCCGAAGUAGUGAAGGGGUGUCCGCAGAAUAAUAUAUAUACGAGGUAUGUUCAAAAGAUAAGGUGGCUUAACAAAUUUCGUGGGCAAGCUUCAUUUUGUAGCACGAUAUAUAUAUUUAUUUUUUUGCGUGUUUUUUGCAAUGUCCAUUGGGACGAUUGGGCUUUGAUUUCGAUAUCAAAACCUUAUAUCCAUGAUUCGUCACCAGUUAUGACCCUUUUGAACAAAUAAGGAUCAUCAUU